CCCAGCCUUUUACAUGUCCCGUGUGGAUCCUGGAGACAGGAUUCUUCAGUUCGGCUGGCGGGAACACAGGUGCUGCAUGGCUGUCGUCAGCUCGUGUCGUGAGAUGUUGGGUUAAGUCCCGCAACGAGCGCAACCCUCGCCCUUAGUUGCCAUCAUUCGGUUGGGCACUCUAAGGGGACUGCCGGUGAUAAGCCGAGAGGAAGGUGGGGAUGACGUCAAGUCCUCAUGGCCCUUACGGGCUGGGCUACACACGUGCUACAAUGGCGGUGACAAAGGGCAGCGAACCCGCGAGGGGGAGCUAAUCCUUAAAAAGCCGUCUCAGUUCAGAUUGCACUCUGCAACUCGAGUGCAUGAAGGCGGAAUCGCUAGUAAUCGUGGAUCAGAACGCCACGGUGAAUACGUUCCCGGGUCUUG
rnacentral:rRNA from 1 species